UCCUCCCCAUUACAAAAUCAGCUAAUGCUAGGUAAACCUUCUCACUCAAAACCAACUCACAAGCAAGCACUUGAAGGCCAAAGAUUUUCGCCGCCGUUUCGAUUCCCGAGUUCUAAUCCGAGUUAACUCAGUCCGAUUUUGGGCUUACUUAAGCCUUUUGAAGUGUGCAGAAAUGAGUAAGAAAAAGAAUCCUGUUGUUUUCUUCGACAUAUCAAUUGAUGGGGAUCCUGUGGAAAAAAUUGUUAUGGAGCUUUUUGCUGAUGUCGUCCCUAAGACAGCAGAGAAUUUUCGGGCACUAUGCACAGGUA